ensembl:lncRNA OLMALINC oligodendrocyte maturation-associated long intergenic non-coding RNA
UUUUUUCCUUUUUUUUUUUUUCCCGGGGAGUCGGCCUCGGGGCUCUGCUCUCCUACCUCAGUCUGCCCUACCCUGGAAUGGGGAAAAUGCGGACAUGCCACUCAGUCCGGCCGCGAACAGUGCUCCAGAACUCAGAGAGUUUUCCAGACGGGUGGAGAUCGCGUUCCCUGCCCGCCGAGGUCCCAUCGCUUCCCUGCUGGGAAGACAAAUGAGGCGCUUUAGCCGUCUCCACGGCCAGCCCCUCCCUCAUAACCCGAGAUUCUUUGUGGGCUCUUAGUCCAUAGCUGCCUUUGAGGUGGUGUAGACCUUGCUAACCAGGACGGCCCAGUAGGCAGAGCUCAUUUUUAUUCCUGUCUGCAAUCGUGCAAAAACGCCUCUUAUGGAAAAGCCAGAGCGCCAGGAGUCAGCAAAACACACUAAAGAUUGGGCAGUCACUGGGGAGAACGUGAGUAAAAGCACAGGAACAGCAAAGCGUUCAGGAACGUUCGAGGCUGACGCAACCGGCGCAGGAAGGUGGUGUGUGGUGGGAGAGUGGGAGGAGACAGUGGAAAGUUUAGACUUGCUUCUACUCAGCCCGCCUGCACCCAGGUGAAAUAUACAGCCUUGUUGCUCACACAAAGCCUGUUUGGUGGUUUCUUCACACGGAUGCAUGUGACAUUUGGUGCUGAAGACCCAGGACAGGAGGACUCCUUUGGGAGACCAGUGCCCUGUUGUCGCCCUCACUCCGUGAGGAGAUCCACCUAUGAUCUCAGGUCCUCAGACCAACCAGCCCAAGGAACAUCUUGCCAAUUUCAAAUCGGAUAGGAGUGUCAGGCCUCUGAGUCCAAGCUAAGCCAUCAAAUCCCCUGUGACCUGCACGUGUACAUCCAGAUGACCUGAAGCAACUGAAGAUCCACAAAAGAAGUGAAAGUAGCCUUAACUGAUGACAUUCCACCAUUGUGAUUUGUUCCUGCCCCACGCUAACUGAUACCAUAUAUUCUUCCCCCGCCCUUGAGAAUGUACUUUGUACACCUAUCCCAAACCUAUAAGAACUAAUGAUAAUCCUACCACCCUUUGCUGACUCUCUUUUUGGACUCAGCCCGCCUGCACCCAGGUGAAAUAAACAGCCCUGUUGCUCACACAAA